GUUGUCGUCAGCUCGUGUCGUGAGAUGUUGGGUUAAGUCCCGCAACGAGCGCAACCCUUAAGCUUAGUUGCCAUCAUUAAGUUGGGCACUCUAAGUUGACUGCCGGUGACAAACCGGAGGAAGGUGGGGAUGACGUCAAAUCAUCAUGCCCCUUAUGAUUUGGGCUACACACGUGCUACAAUGGACAAUACAAAGGGCAGCGAAACCGCGAGGUCAAGCAAAUCCCAUAAAGUUGUUCUCAGUUCGGAUUGUAGUCUGCAACUCGACUACAUGAAGCUGGAAUCGCUAGUAAUCGUAGAUCAGCAUGCUACGGUGAAUACGUUCCCGGGUCUUGUACACACCGCCCGUCACACCACGAGAGUUUGUAACACCCGAAGCCGGUGGAGUAACCUUUUAGGAGCUAGCCGUCGAAGGUGGGACAAAUGAUUGGGGUGAAGUCGUAACAAGGUAGCCGUAUCGGAAGGUGCGGCUGGAUCACCUCCUUU
rnacentral:rRNA from 1 species